GCCCCCCCCCCGCUGGAACUCUUGAGUGCCUUCUAUGGACAUGCCCGGGCUUGUUGCAGAUCUACCCGGCAACAAGGAAGUAGCCCCAGUACACUCCUCUUGCUCCUCCCCUCUCGCCCUACGGUAUAUAUGUUGUAGCAGCUUCCGUAAUAAACGAGACUUGAUCAGAAACCUGUCUUGUCUCCAUCUCUCGUGUCCCCUGUCCCCUCUCAUCCUCGCUCCCCCUCUAGGGUCUCCGUUGACUUACCCGCGGGCCGGGACAAGUGGCGCCCAACGUGGGGCCAGAGAACGGGGGAUCCAGUGAAGGACGCUGCUCAGGGGCCCUAAGAUUAAGAUUGAGGAACAAAGAGCAUACUCGAUAUAGAAGAGGCUUGCGAUUGACGUGGACCUGCCGUCUUUUUGCACCUCGGGAACAUCGUCAUCAUUUAAAGUUUGGACCUCCGGCGCACAAUGACAAGGGAACUCAUGAAGGACAUCUGGCUGAAUGAACGAUCCGAAAACAAGAAUAGGAUGAGCUGGAAAUGCCUAGUUCCCCUGAUGUUGCUGACCAGGGUAUGGGUGGUGUCGCCUUCAGAAGGGUUAGACCACAUGAAAAAUAUAUGGAUUCAGUUGGCAGGCUCGCUCAACUUAUCUGAAUUUUGUCUAAGUGCUGAUGUAAACUUUCAUUAUAUGUUGGGAAGUUGCCUCGUUCCUGUAUGUACCCCAUUGGAAUCAUUGCGGCCUUAUACUCUGUUUAAAGAUAUUCCAGGAAAAAAUCUCACAUAUGCAGAUAGUUACAAUUGGGGAUCUGCUACUUGUCGCAGGCCCAAGAAUGCUGUCAAAUUAUAUUCACCUAAGGUAAUUAUGUCUAAUAAGACCGAAUGUGCUGUAUACAGAAAUUGUACAACUAAAUAUCUACAAGUUAAACGUUUGGAAAACAUGUCCUGCCGUGUUGAACAAGAAAUUAUGUAUAGUAAUUGCCAUGUCUCUUUGCCAAUGGGUUGGUUUUACACUUGUGAAAGGGAAACUUUUAAUUACAUUCCGGCCAACUUGAGUGACACUCGUUGUUGCUUGAGUCGGUUGGCUGUGAUAUUACCAGACAGAACUGAUUUGGUUGUGCCUAAUCGAAUUAGACGGUGGUCGCCGUAUACCGCCCCAGGAUGUAAUGACGAUGUGGGUCUAUUGACUGAUGCAGAAGUGUUAGUCAUGAUAGGGUCUUUCGUUGCUAUGCCGUCCAUCGGGGUGCAUGCGGAAGCGGCAGUACGAAGAUUAGCCUGUAAAGUGGUAAAAGGAUUGAAUGCCACCUCCACCGCCCUGGCGUUGAUUAAUCAAGAGUUACAGGAACAAAGACAAGCUAUUUUGGAUAAUCGAGCAGCAAUAGAUUAUUUGUUGCUUUUUCAUCACCAGGGCUGUGAAAAAAUAAAAAAUAUGUGUUGUUUUAAUUUGACUGACAAUGGGGAAAAAAUCAAUGAUACAAUAAAACAGUUGAAAGACCUGGCUAAUAAGGUGCACAAUGAGGAUGGCGGAGACCUAUUUAAAUGGUUGACCUCAUGGCUACCCAACCUACAAUGGGUAAAACAAUUGUUUCUUGCCAUUGCAAUUGUAUGUGUUUGUCUGUUAUUGUCAUGCUGCUGCAUACAAUGGAUACCAAUGCUUAUACGUAGAAAUUGCUUUGAUUUUUAGAUAAAAAGGUUCAGGCCGAUAUGAUUUGAAAGCCUUGUAUUCCCCUUUGUAUUUUAACCUAUGUUAAUCUUAGUAACUAAAAUGUCUUCAGAUAAUUUUGAUUUUGUAAGCUUGUGAUUUCCCCUGGAGCUAUAGUGGACACCAAGAUGUACGUCAAAAUCAGCGAUAAAUUACUGUCAGGAUGUUGGCUGGACAUACGCUACAUGGGCCGAUUCCAUCUCUGCCACGGCGUAAAAUUCUCGCCCCGCCUGGUGAGCGGGCUGGCAAGCCAAUGACGGGCAACUGGGCAAGCGUGCCAUGCAAUGAGAGAGCCCUCGUGUGCCGCGUAAGACAGGUGCCAGAGCCUUGAUUCUCUGGUUAACCGAUGACGGGUAAGGUGCACGAUGCAGACACAUAUGUUGCUCUGACCCAAGACAGGCUCAGCCCCCACAGGCUUGACUCUCCUGACGCUUUUCUAAAAAAUAAUUUUAAAAGGGAGGACCUGUAGGGGGCCCUGCCCCCCCCCCCGCUGGAACUCUUGAGUGCCUUCUAUGGACAUGCCCGGGCUUGUUGCAGAUCUACCCGGCAACAAGGAAGUAGCCCCAGUACACUCCUCUUGCUCCUCCCCUCUCGCCCUACGGUAUAUAUGUUGUAGCAGCUUCCGUAAUAAACGAGACUUGAUCAGAAACCUGUCUUGUCUCCAUCUCUCGUGUCCCCUGUCCCCUCUCAUCCUCGC
ensembl:lncRNA